GAUGAACGCUAGCUACAGGCUUAACACAUGCAAGUCGAGGGGCAGCAUGGUCUUAGCUUGCUAAGGCCGAUGGCGACCGGCGCACGGGUGAGUAACACGUAUCCAACCUGCCGUCUACUCUUGGACAGCCUUCUGAAAGGAAGAUUAAUACAAGAUGGCAUCAUGAGUCCGCAUGUUCACAUGAUUAAAGGUAUUCCGGUAGACGAUGGGGAUGCGUUCCAUUAGAUAGUAGGCGGGGUAACGGCCCACCUAGUCUUCGAUGGAUAGGGGUUCUGAGAGGAAGGUCCCCCACAUUGGAACUGAGACACGGUCCAAACUCCUACGGGAGGCAACAGUGAGGAAUAUUGGUCAAUGGGCGCAGGCCUGAACCAGCCAAGUAGCGUGAAGGAUGACUGCCCUAUGGGUUGUAAACUUCUUUUAUAAAGGAAUAAAGUCGGGUAUGUAUACCCGUUUGCAUGUACUUUAUGAAUAAGGAUCGGCUAACUCCGUG
rnacentral:rRNA from 1 species